CUACCCCAACUUGCUUGGGAAAAAGGCUUUGAUGUUGUUGUUGAUGUUGUUGUAAUAUUUUGGUUGGCCUAUUUGUUGGCCAACAUUGGCUAAAAAAAAUGAGCUAGAGUUGAUAGUGGAGCAUUGGCAAGCCAAAAAGUUGGCAACUAUCCAAACAAGAACCAAUCUUUUGGCCAUGACCAAAAAAUUGGUAGGGUAUGCCUUGGUAGCAAUCCAAACACGCCCUAAGGCCCCUGUUGUUUGUCAGCUAGCGGCAGGAAUAAGAAUUGGAUACAUAUUUCUGUUGUGGCAUGAGAAUAGCUGGAUUCACUACAUAUCAUUGUUUGUUUUAUGCUUGAUGCAGGUGGUUGAAUAGUUCAGUUGAUCAGACGAUCAGUAGGUUUUUUCGGCACCAGCCGCCAGGAUACCACCUUUUGAAUUCGUCUCCUAUAUGAAGUCCAGAGAAAAUUUAAAAUCAAUAAUUGAAUUUGCAUCUGGUUCUCUUAUCAGCACUUGGUGGUAUCAGUUGAACAGAGAACAGGGGUCAGGUAAGCACUAUGUCAGUCCUCACACUUAUUAUGACCUUUUUGCAAUUCCCUAAAAAUGAGUGUUCUGUAAUGGUUAUUUGACAAAUCAAGAAAAAAAAAAGGAAUGUAGGCGACAUGAAUGGAAACUGUGAAGUGGCACCUUGCUUUCAACAAAAAAGUUCAUUUUGUGUUCCCUAGUUUUAGCCUUUUAGGAUACAUACCAGUAAAAACAAAAGAAUGGUUAUGAGCCAGCUGUAGACGCGUCAAAGAAUAUCAAUAAAAACUAAAGCAAUACCUUGUCUAUACAUCAAAGUUUUCCUUGUCAGAUAUUUUGUGUUUUUUUUAACCAUAACUUUGGAUUUUGGGCAGAUGGAUAGUUUUGUAAUUUUGUUGGAACUCCCUGUGUUCCAUAAUAUAAGAUGUUAUUACAACCAAUAUACAAGCAAAUUGGUCGUAAUAAUAUCUUAUAUUAUGGGAUGGAGGGAGUACAAAAUAUUUAUGUGGCUCCUUGAAUUAGAUAUUCUUAUGACGUGAAGUAUUAUGCUGUGGUUUCUCCGACCAACUAGUUCGUCCUUUUGCUACAGGUAGCUUAAUUACACAUUUUCUGGAAUUGCUGCUUUCGAUUUUCUGCAGUUUCCUUGAUUCAGUAGAUUUGUGGUGUGCAUUAAUAUGUUGCGCUUGAUCAAUCAGUUUUUCUGCUCACAACAAUAGUUUAGGUCAAAAUUUAUUUAUCCAUGCAUUUUCUUACAUGGCAUUAUGUUUGAUAAAAUUGCAAUAACGAAGCAUCAUGUUAGUCCCUUUAUUAUUGUUAUAUACUUGUGUCGCAACUUUUUCUAGAUACCGAUGUAACUACACACUAAAAUGCAUCUAGAUACAUCCAUAUCUAGACAAAGUUGCGACAUUUAUUUUGGAACAGAGGUAGUAACUGUUACUACAUUUUAAGCUUAAAUGAUAUAUCCAGUGUACUAGUUUUUAUUCUUUUCCCUUUCGUGUUCUGUGAUUCUAUCCCAUUUUUGGUGCCUUCCUCCCAUCUUUUGCAUUUUCAGUUUGCACAUGAUGUUGGCAAGGUAAAUACCCGAUCACAUGGGUGCAUUACCUUGACCUUUUGCUUUGUUCACACCGCAUUACUAUUUGCUUAUGUUACUUUAUUCAGUUUAGAACUGUGCAGUCACAAGCAUAUCUUUAGUUUAGGUGAAUAGCCAUUGUAGACUGAAUCCCUGGGCUAAGAACAUUUAUCCCCUCACUCUAAGGCUGGUUUGUUUCAGCACUAUUAUCUAGAAAAGCACAAAUAAGAAUGCACUCGCUAGUGUCCAAGCCCUCUAAUAUGGUUUUUGAAGAUUCAGUUGAGUAAGCUAAGUUUCAUUGCAAAUAUUUCUAAUGGUUUAAUCUCUAGAAUGUUUCCAGAAUUCCAGCCAACUUGCUCUAAGGAUCCAAAGGAUUGUCCCCUGUUCGGUUAAGUAAGCUAAAUUCACUUUUUCACCAUUGUUUGUUGCUUUAUCCUCAAAAUCGGAUUUUUGAAAAGCAAUGUUUGAAUUAUCUUUAUAUUUGACUAACUGCCCUGCUGAUAUAACUAUUUGCUUUGGUGAAGAAGUGCGACCUUUAUUAUUUUCUUUUACUUAAAUUGCCAUUUUUCUAAUUAUCUUUUGACAGAAGCAAGGACUGUCUCUAGGUUUUUUUGAUAUCCUUUUUUCAUGUCGUUUUUUGGGAUAUAAUCAAGUCGGUGCAUUUUGUUAUUUUAUUCAAACUCUUCUUUGGACUUGCAUUGUUGUUGAAUCCUUGGUUGCUUGGCAUUGCAAGAAGCCGGAAUCUGUAACUGACCCAUCUGAGAUCUUGUGGGUCUAUGAAGGUGAGUGUCCGUUGGCAAAACAAGGCACGAGUUUGUCUUAUGUCAAACCCUCUAAUCAGCUGUUCCGGAAUUUCUUGAUGAAUAUAUAAAUGGAUAAAGUUACUCUACUUUCUAAUCCCUCAUGCUGCUGGUGCAGGCUGGUCAUGGCUUGCUGUUACUUCUUGUCAAUUCUUGGUGUGCCUAUGUCCUGAACUGAUAAGUAUAUUAAAGACUAUAGUGCAUCUUUUUGUCUUUGUUGUUCACUUAAUUCAACCUUUGUGAACCGAAAACUCUGAAGCCAGAGAGGCAAGCUAAAUGGCUCUCCUCAAGAUUACAAAAAGAGUCGAAGCUAUCCUUUUUUGACAGGGUUGAAGAUGCCAGGUUACUAACAAGGAACAAUCUCCACGUCUCACUGCAGGCUCUCGUAAAUGAUAUCCACUGAUGAUUAAAGUGGACAUGCUGGCGAGUGUCUACAAAACGAUCAGUGAUUAUGGGCGUCCAAAGGAAAUGUUGCCUGCUUUUGCCUAGGCGUAAGUGUAAUUCCUCUUGAUGAUGAAUGAUAAGCAAAAGUCUUGCUUUAGAUGAAAUAUAUCAAAAAUUUGAACCAAGUAAUAGCAAACUAUCCAAUACAAAUGUAGAAUUUGUAAUACACGUCUUACUUGUAAGACAAAUUGUAAGGUAAUCUGUAUACUGAACAUGUUUGUGUG